rnacentral:rRNA from 1 species
CCAAUAGCGUAUAUUAAAGUUGUUGCAGUUAAAAAGCUCGUAGUUGAAUUUCGGGAUCAAUUUAUUGGUCGUGCUAUUGUACGUACUGGUAUUAUUGAUUCCUACCUUCUGACGAACCAUGAUGUCAUUAAUUUGGUGUCAUGGGGAAUCAGGACUGUUACUUUGAAAAAAUUAGAGUGUUUAAAGCAGGCUCACGCUUGAAUACAUUAGCAUGGAAUAACGAAAUAGGACGUUUGAUUCUAUUUUGUUGGUUUCUAGGAUCGACGUAAUGAUUAAUAGGGAUAGUUGGGGGCAUUAGUAUUCAAUUGUCAGAGGUGAAAUUCUUGGAUUUAUUGAAGACUAACUACUGCGAAAGCAUUUGCCAAGGAUGUUUUCAUUAAUCAAGAACGAAAGUUAGGGGAUCGAAGACGAUCAGAUACCGUCGUAGUCUUAACCAUAAACUAUGCCGACUAGGGAUCGGAUGAUGUUAAUUUUUUAAUGACUCAUUCGGCGCCUUAC